rnacentral:rRNA from 1 species
UACGAAGGUGGCAAGCGUUGUUCGGAUUUACUGGGCGUAAAGGGAGCGUAGGUGGUUAGGUAAGCCCUCCGGGAAAUCUUCAGGCUUAACCUGAAAAGGUCGGGGGGGGACUGCCUGGCUAGAGGACGGGAGAGGAGCGCGGAAUUCCCGGUGUAGCGGUGAAAUGCGCAGAUAUCAGGAGGAACACCGGUGGCGAAGGCGGGACUCUGGGCCGAUACUGACGCUGAGGAGCGAAAGCGUGGGGAGCAAACAGG